rnacentral:rRNA from 1 species
AUACGGAGGGGGUUAGCGUUGUUCGGAAUUACUAGGCGUAAAGCGCACGUAGGCGGACUGGAAAGUUGGGGGUGAAAUCCCGGGGCUCAACCCCGGAACUGCCUCCAAAACUUCCAAUCUAGAGAUCGAGAGAGGUGAGUGGAAUUCCAAGUGUAGAGGUGAAAUUCGUAGAUAUUUGGAGGAACACCAGUGGCGAAGGCGGCUCACUGGCUCGAUACUGACGCUGAGGUGCGAAAGCGUGGGGAGCAAACAGGAUUAGAUACCCCAGUAGUCC